UAUGGCAUGGAGAUUAAGAAGAGUAACCUUAAAUACUUUUUAGAGAGAUGAUGGCAGGUGUAAAUCAUUAAGUGAUUAUGGUGAAGGGAGCUUUUGAAUGCCUUUAGUUUGAAAGAUGGGCUUUAGCCAAAAAGGGUGGAACCGCGGAAAGAAUUUUUCGUCCCUUUG
rnacentral:ncRNA from 1 species